rnacentral:rRNA from 1 species
UACAGGGGGGGCAAGCGUUGUUCGGAAUUACUGGGCGUAAAGGGCUAGUAGGCGGCCUGCUAAGUCCGACGUGAAAUCCCCAGGCUUAACCUGGGAACUGCGUCGGAUACUGGCGGGCUUGAAUCCGGGAGAGGGAUGCGGAAUUCCAGGUGUAGCGGUGAAAUGCGUAGAUAUCUGGAGGAACACCGGUGGCGAAGGCGGCAUCCUGGACCGGCAUUGACGCUGAUCAGCGAAAGCCAGGGGAGCAAACGGG